GGUAUCGGAUUACUGGGCGUAAGCGCAUGCAGGCGGUUUGUUAAGUCAGAUGUGAAAGCCCGGGGCUCAACCUCGGAACCGCAUUUGAAACUGGCAGGCUAGAGUCUUGUAGAGGGGGGUAGAAUUUCAGGUGUAGCGGUGAAAUGCGUAGAGAUCUGAAGGAAUACCAGUGGCGAAGGCGGCCCCCUGGACAAAGACUGACGCUCAGAUGCGAAAGCGUGGGUAGCAAACAGGAUUAGAUACCCUGGUAGUCCACGCCGUAAACGCUGUCUACUUGGAGGUUGAGGUUUAGACUUUGGCUUUCGGCGCUAACGCAUUAAGUAGACCGCCUGGGGAGUACGGCCGCAAGGUUAAAACUCAAAUGAAUUGACGGGGGCCCGCACAAGCGGUGGAGCAUGUGGUUUAAUUCGAUGCAACGCGAAGAACCUUACCUACUCUUGACAUCCAGCGAAUCCUUUAGAGAUAGAGGAGUGCCUUCGGGAGCUCUGAGACAGGUGCUGCAUGGCUGUCGUCAGCUCGUGUUGUGAAAUGUUGGGUUAAGUCCCGCAACGAGCGCAACCCUUAUCCUUGUUUGCCAGCACGUAAUGGUGGGAACUCCAGGGAGACUGCCGGUGAUAAACCGGAGGAAGGUGGGGACGACGUCAAGUCAUCAUGGCCCUUACGAGUAGGGCUACACACGUGCUACAAUGGCAGAUACAGAGGGCAGCGAAGCUGCGAAGUGGAGCGAAUCCCUUAAAGUCUGUCGUAGUCCGGAUUGGAGUCUGCAACUCGACUCCAUGAAGUCGGAAUCGCUAGUAAUCGUGGAUCAGAAUGCCACGGUGAAUACGUUCCCGGGCCUUGUACACACCGCCCGUCACACCAUGGGAGUGGGCUGCACCAGAAGUAGAUAGCUAACCUCGGAGGGCGUUACU
rnacentral:rRNA from 1 species